CCUACGGGUGGCAGCAGUGAGGAAUAUUGGUCAAUGGGCGGACGCCUGAACCAGCCAAGUCGCGUGAGGGAAGACUGCCCUAUGGGUUGUAAACCUCUUUUGUCAGGGAGCAACGCCGGCUACGUGUAGCCGGACGGAGAGUACCUGAAGAAAAAGCAGCGGCAAACUCCGUGCCAGCAGCCGCGGUAAUACGGAGGAUGCGAGCGUUAGCCGGAUUGAUUGGGUUGAAAGGGUGCGUAGGCGGAAUGCCAAGUCAGCGGUAAAAUCGCGGGGCUCAACCUCGCUCCGCCGUUGAAACUGGCGUUCUUGAGUGGGCGCGCAGUAUGCGGCAUGCGUGGUGUAGCGG
rnacentral:rRNA from 1 species